UUCUUUUUCCUAGCCUAGCCUCCCUUAUAAACCACCUGUACCCAAGCCCUUAUUUUAAGCUGUGCUUUCAAGGGAACUCAAACCAAGACAUUAAGCUAGAUUUGUUCAUGUGUGGAUGUGAUGGAACUGAAGUCGCUAGGUUCAUGCUACCUGGAACAUGAGACUGACAAAUAGAGGAGCACUGAGUCAAAUGAAUCUCGGAGAAAUGGAGCUGGAAGAAAACUGGAUGGCAUACUCUCAUUUUAUCCAUUUCUGACAGGAAUGAAAGAAAAGAUAUACGCAAAGUGGAUUCUAAUCAUAGAGUUUCAUUCUUGUUGCCCAGGCUGGAGUGCAAUGGUGUGAUCUUGGCUCACCGCAACCUUGACCUCCUAGGUUCAAGUGAUUCUCCUGUCUCAGUCUCCUGAGUAGCUAGUAUUACAGGCAUGCACCACUAUGCCCGGCUAAUUUUGUAUUUUUAGUUGAGAUGGGGUUUCUCCAUGUUGGUCAGGCUGGUCUCGAACUCCCGACCUCAGGUGAUCCACCUGCUUCAGCCUCCCAAAGUGCUGGGAUUACAGGUGUGAGCAGCCGUGCCCUGCUGAAACUUAUUUGUUUGAGCAAUAAAAGCCACAUAUUUCCUCUUUUGAUAAA
ensembl:lncRNA novel transcript